rnacentral:ncRNA from 13 species
GAUGUUUUCUUGGGUUAAUUGAGGCCUGAGUAUAAGGUGACUUAUACUUGUAAUCUAUCUAAACGGGGAACCUCUCUAGUAGACAAUCCCGUGCUAAAUUGUAGGACUUGCCCUUUAAUAAAUACUUCUAUAUUUAAAGAGGUAUUUAUGAAAAGCGGAAUUUAUCAGAUUAAAAAUACUUUAAACAAUAAAGUAUAUGUAGGAAGUGCUAAAGAUUUUGAAAAGAGAUGGAAGAGGCAUUUUAAAGAUUUAGAAAAAGGAUGCCAUUCUUCUAUAAAACUUCAGAGGUCUUUUAACAAACAUGGUAAUGUGUUUGAAUGUUCUAUUUUGGAAGAAAUUCCAUAUGCGAAAGAUUUGAUUAUUGAACGAGAAAAUUUUUGGAUUAAAGAGCUUAAUUCUAAAAUUAAUGGAUACAAUAUUGCUGAUGCAACGUUUGGUGAUACAUGUUCUACGCAUCCAUUAAAAGAAGAAAUUAUUAAGAAACGUUCUGAAACUGUUAAAGCUAAGAUGCUUAAACUUGGACCUGAUGGUCGGAAAGCUCUUUACAGUAAACCCGGAAGUAAAAACGGGCGUUGGAAUCCAGAAACCCAUAAGUUUUGUAAGUGCGGUGUUCGCAUACAAACUUCUGCUUAUACUUGUAGUAAAUGCAGAAAUCGUUCAGGUGAAAAUAAUUCAUUCUUUAAUCAUAAGCAUUCAGACAUAACUAAAUCUAAAAUAUCAGAAAAGAUGAAAGGUAAAAAGCCUAGUAAUAUUAAAAAGAUUUCAUGUGAUGGGGUUAUUUUUGAUUGUGCAGCAGAUGCAGCUAGACAUUUUAAAAUUUCGUCUGGAUUAGUUACUUAUCGUGUAAAAUCUGAUAAAUGGAAUUGGUUCUACAUAAAUGCCUAACGACUAUCCCUUUGGGGAGUAGGGUCAAGUGACUCGAAACGAUAGACAACUUGCUUUAACAAGUUGGAGAUAUAGUCUGCUCUGCAUGGUGACAUGCAGCUGGAUAUAAUUCCGGGGUAAGAUUAACGACCUUAUCUGAACAUAAUGCUAC